CGCAGGAGCAACAUACCACAGCAUACAUUAAACAAUGCCAGACAAAAGGCACGGGAAAAUAUACUGGAAUUAAUGAAGCGACUAAAUGACGGUUGACCCGGAGGGAACAGAUUUCAGUUAUCAGGGGACGACUGUUCCACAUCUCGUGGGUCUGAGAGGUGACAGCAACACCUUACUGUCUUGGAUUCCAUUGUUGCUGGGCAUCACAUAAACAACAGACUGCCAGCACCACAGUCCAUUACUGACAGUAAAGACCACAGUCAGAUAAACCUAAGGUGCAACUUCCUCACUCAACAUCUAUGCACCAGGAGAACACAAGGGAGCGACAUUGAGAGGAGGCGAUGAUGAACGGUGAAACUCGAGCAUGAAAUAUUGGACAGUUUCACAGAUCAGAAAUGCAGUCGAAGCUAAUGAGGAUAUGGAGGGUUUGGUCCAUCUUAAGGGAUUGAAUUGUUUGACUUGUGACAGUGACACUCUGGGACGUGUGACUCUCGCAAUGUGAAUAUAGCAUGAACUGUACAUAAACAUAAAUCAA